rnacentral:lncRNA from 1 species
UGGGAUGCACGAUUUUAUAUCAACUUAAUGGACGUGGAUGACCUUUUCUUUUGUUGACCGGAGGUUGACUUGGGUAAGUGUUAGAAGCUUGUCCUUCAAUAGCUUAAACCCUAGCUAGAAAAUGCACGACGGUUUGCAUUGGAUCCGAGAUUUCUAAUGGAUCAGGUCCAAGAGGACGACGAAGGAAAUUGGAAUUGGUAGUGACAAAAUAAUUGAGGUAAGCAAAUAAGUAUUUUCUGGAAAAUAGGUAGAGCAAAAUUUAGCCUCAAUCGAAAGACUUGACGUGAAGAAAUAUUUUGCAAACGUGUUAGGUCAUCCUCAAACAGACAAUGACCGAAGCUCACCUAAUUAGGCUAAUUUCUUGCAUGUCGUUUUGAAUCCUUAAAUACGAAUUGACCCUAUAUGGCUAGUGGCCAACUUCCGUAUAUUAUUGUUGAAUAUAUUCAAAAACCUCCCACUAAAAAUGUUUUUCUAAUUUGUAAAUGGGAAACGAAAUUGAUAGGGAAUAAAAUUGACAAGGAAUGAAUUUAAACUUGGGAAUUUUAACGAAAAACAUCCGGUACUGUUCACUUUAACGAAAAAUCACAUUUUUACAUUAAAAAGUCAAUCAUAGUACUAUUCAUUUUACUCUUUAUUUUGUCCUUAUCGUUAAAACUCAAAGUUUUCAAGUCAUUUUCAUUAGUUUUCCUUUUAAACUUUCAUGAUAAUCAGAAGUGAAAAGGCUUUAUGAAAAUUUUGGUUACCAUGUUUACUUUUUGUUUUGAAAAAAGUAACUACAUGAUGGCAAAGCUAUGAAAGUCCAUCUUUUUAAAAGUCGAAAAACUCAUAGAGGCAUUUCAAUCUCUCUGACCAUCAUCUUGUGUUGUUCUAAAACAUGUUCAAUUAUGUAAAUGCCUUUGCAGUCUGGCCAAUUUUAUUGAAAUUUCAAACAAUAUUUUUGUCAAGGUGUGCACAUCGAAAACACAUGGCCACAAAUUCCAACAAUUAUUGGGUGGAUUAGAAGGACCAAAUUAGAAAUGAGGAUAUUCGAUAUAAAAUAGGAGUGGCGGUAAUUAAAGAUAAGAUGAGAGAAAAUCGGUUAAAAUGGAUAAACAUGUGAGCCAAAGUCCUACAAAUGCUAUUGUUAGAAAAAGACGGAGGGUCAGGGUAAAAAGGGUAAAGGAAAACCUCAUAAUACUUGGAAAGAGACUUUUAGAACAGAGGAAAACCUCAUAAUACUUGGAAAGAGACUUUUAGAACAGACAUGGAGUACCCGGAAAUGACGGCAGACUUGACACAAAUCAAAGCAUAGUAGCGUUUCGGGAGACAUACAAUAGAUCCCGCUUAGUGAAACAAAGCUUUGUUGCUGUUGUAUUUGGUGCAAUGGAAGGAAUUAUUGA